CUCUUCGCUGAACAGUGCCCUUUGUGUGUUGACGGUUUUACCCCGGCAAUUCAAUUUCCAAUUGAGAACAGUACAUCAAUUGCUUGACGGAAUUGUCCUCACCUCUUAGUUUCGGCAAUUUGCCGAAACAAACUCUCUCUAUAUAUAUAAGUGGUUUUCUAUUUUCACUUCCUUAAGCUAUUUUCAUUUCCUGUUUCUCUCUCUUCUAUCUCUUCCGUUCGCCAUUGGAGUUAGAUUUGUUUGCUUAGUCUGGGAAACAUUGAAUUCAGGUUUUUGUUGUGAUUUAGUUUUUACAGUUUGGAUUAAAUUGUUGUGUAUUCGUUUAGUGUUUAUCUAUUCGGAAGAGGUUUAGAUAAUAUAAAUACGUGUACAGUAUGGUGCCUCGGCUACGUGUAACUGAUUCCAAGACAACUUUCGUUAAAAAGGAUGGGCAAAAAUUGGUAUGUAAAAAUGGGAAUUGGGCUCACGAGGGCGGCACUGAUAACCUCAGCUAUUGGGCUUUUACCUUCAGCGUUAUCACUGGGAAUAUAUCCAUGUGGUGCAUCGACUAUACAUUCAUGGUACGUGUCUUGACUCAUAUGAUACAUGGGCCGUCUAAAGGAAUUAAAAGUGUGUGACAAAUUCUUUUGGAGCUUCGGCUAUUGAAUAGCACUCGAAGUUUCGGCAUAAUAUGUGACGGCAACGGAGUUUGAAACUUCGGCCAUUGCAUUUAAAUGAUUGAAAGUGUUUGAUAAAUUCUUUUUAAUAAAUUCCUUUUCAGAAUAACAAAUUCCAGAACAACAACUUUCAAAUAACAUAAUUUAUCAUUUGUGACAGUCUCUCUCCUUGUUCUUUUGUCAUCCAAUUUUAGGUAACAGUGGGAUAGUCUAAAAUGUGUGGGCGUUAAAAAAAAAAAAAAA